rnacentral:tRNA from 1 species
GGUGCCAUAGCACAGCUGGUUACUGCGGUCGGUUCAUACCCGACAGAUCACUAGUUCGAAUCUAGUUGGCACCACCA